UACGGGGGAUGCAAGCGUUAUCCGGAUUUAUUGGGUUUAAAGGGUGCGUAGGCUGUGAGGUAAGUCAGCGGUGAAAUGCCCCCGCUCAACGGGGUGAAGUGCCAUUGAUACUGCCUUGCUGGAAUGCGGAUGCCGUGGGAGGAAUGUGUGGUGUAGCGGUGAAAUGCAUAGAUAUCACACGGAACACCGAUUGCGAAGGCAUCUCACGAAUCCGCGAUUGACGCUGAUGCACGAAAGCGUGGGUAUCAAACGGG
rnacentral:rRNA from 1 species